ACUGCUCGGUGGAGAGGAAAUGGAUAUGCACGUCGAUGCCGCCCGGCGUCACGAUCAGGCCGCCGGCCGGGUAAUAGGUGGUGUUCGGCCCGCAUACCAGAUUGUCAUCCACGCCGUCCUGGAUAUUGGGAUUUCCGGCCUUGCCGACGCCGGCGAUCUUGCCGUCGCGGAUGCCGAUAUCGGCCUUGAUGAUGCCGAGCACCGGAUCGAUGAUGGUGGCGUUUUCGACCAGCAUGUCGAUGGCGCCGUCGGCGCGUGAGGUGUGCGCGUCAUAGGCCAUGCCGUCGCG
rnacentral:sRNA from 1 species